rfam:Chelonia mydas contig143613, whole genome shotgun sequence.
CCGUGUCCAUGAUGUUCCAUCUACCUACAUUGUUUGAUGCUGGGUGAGAAAAAUUUUGACCCUGAGACAUGC